GUGCUCGCUUCAGUGACACAUAUACUAAAAUUGGAACGAUACAGAGAAGAUUAGAGUGGCCUCAGCGCAAGGAUGACACGCAAAUUCAUGAAGCCUUCCAUAUUUUU
ensembl:snRNA LOC120095353 U6 spliceosomal RNA